rnacentral:tRNA from 2 species
GCUGUGAUGGCCGAGAGGUUAAGGCGUUGGACUUGAAAUCCAGUGGGGUUUCCCCCACGCAGGUUCAAAUCCUGCUCACAGCG